GGUACGUGACCUAAGGUAAAAUUCCAGUUUCUUGCUGUCUAAACUCACUCAGUCCUUGGCUGCUUUAAACAAUUUUAGGCUAUAACUUUAAUUUCAGUUUUGUUUAGGUGCUGUACUCUGUAUACUAACUUUCUAUGCGAGUUUGCGUCUUUCAAUAUAGCUAAUUCUAUCUACUUGGAUCAUUCUCUUAUGACAAGGCAAUCCAAAUAUGGUCAUGGCACUAGCUGGGAAUAAAGCAGAUCUAGUAGAGUCAACUCUCGGUCAAUAUGCACUUGUUGCUUUAUUUUAGCAUUCUUACUAUGGUGUUUGAAAGCUUUUAAAUUUUUUAUUUUAUUCUUUUCUUAUAAGGGAACACGUAAAGCCAUGAAAGAUGUUUGUUUGAAAUAUAAUCGAUGUCAAGAUUUUGCUUCUAGUUAGUUUGUUAGUCAUGAGGUAUCAUCUUGUUUCUUGCUAUGUUCUUGCUCUAAUUGGGCUCGUCGUUUGAAGGUUUUUGUUGUUUUCUUUCAAGCUAAUAUGUUCUCUAAUCUAUUCUCUGAUUUGCUUCAAAGGGCUGUAAGACAUCAUUUUGCUCUUUGUGCUGGCUUGCUGUAAGAAAAUGGAUCCUUAUUUACUGGCUAUCAUUUUCAUGGAUGCCCACAAUAGCAAAGACAAAUUUAAUCAUGCUUUGGGUUAUGCAUAUAUACUCACGCACCCCGGAAUACCUUCCGUCUUCGAUGACCACUUCUAUGAUUCGGGUGAUUCCAUUCAUGAUCAGAUUGUGAAACUGGUACAGCAGUAUGGCUAGCUAGUUCUUUUAUUAACUUGUGUCUAGUAGAAAUUCUUCAUUCUUUAAGCAUUUGGACUUGUCUGCAUGUCCAGAUUAGUAGAUAUGGGUCAUUUUGAAUUGAUAUUCAUGAUUAGGUUUGUGUAUAUGAGACAAUGGUGGAUUAAUGGAAAUUGUAAUGAAUGAUUUUGGAUGUAGAUUUUAUGGUUUC